GGGGCAUUGAAUGUUGGAUCUAGCAUGGUGUCGGCACUAAGAAGUAAAGCAUCUCUCUCUAUCUCUGUAGCAGAUCUUGAAAGUUAGAGAUCUUCCUUAGCUCAAGAACUGUUUGCCUCUCUAUUUAUUCAUUGGUUGCAGGGAUCUUUAGCGUGAAUCUCCCAUAUACAUGGAAUCUAAACCAUGGAUAUCUAUUUAAAUGGGAAUUGACUCUGUUUCCCAACUGCUACAUUGAGGAUAAGACGUGGCUGCUGAAAUUCUACAUCAAGGUUAGAGAAAAC